GAUUCCAGAUAACUCCUUGUAUCCCUCCAGUGUCCUACGGCACUUUCUGCAUUCCUAGGACAGUGCACUGUGUCGUUCAGGAAGCAGUGUCAGAAGCUCACUUUUGUGCUAAUUUUUAUAUGCACAAAAUUGCAGGCUUAUGGUGUGAGCUAAACUGAUUUCAUCCUGAAGCUAUGAAGCUCUUAAUACCAAUUGUAUCCAUGUCAGAUGGAUCAGUGUUGGUUUGGGUUUUUUGUUUGUUUUUUGAAAAAUAGCAAAAAUUUUUAUCAGUUAAACGGAGAUGACUAACAGUAGCAUUUUGUACAAAUGUAUUUCAUUUAAGUAAAGAGUCCCUUGUCACUGGAAAUGAAUGAAUACAUUUUAUUAUGGCAUUUAACUUAAAACAUAAUUGUCUGAAUCUUAAUUUUUAGGAUUCCCAGUUUAAGAAUCCUUUGUUUUCAUUACUUGUCUGCUUUGAGAACAGACAUAAAAGGAAAAUGAUGAAAGAAAUCUAAAGUCCCGAGUCUCUUCUUGUUUGGGUAUAUUUCAACAGAUGAAUAUUUAGCAAUACUGCAAACCUCAGUGGGACUAAUUUAUUUAUUUUUUCCCUUUCUGGUGACAUUUAAAGAAAUGCUUUACGUAAAGAGAAAAUAUGUUCUUAAUAUGUAUAUUUAAACCUAAAUUUGCUUUUUUGAUUUUUAAAGAUAUAUUUGAUAUUAGAAAAGUUGUAACCGUCUGCUUUGGUAAUUAACACAGUAGUUGAGGAGCUUGACAGUUUGAGGAAUUUCCAUGCUGAUGACAUCCUGUUUUUAUGUUCCUGGAGGAGAAGGUUUGAUUCACAUUCAAGAGGAAUGAAGUUGAUGUAGAAAUCUCACUUGAAGAUAUGGGAAGACUUCAGCUGCUUUUGUAGCUCCAUUUGAAUACAGAAGUCAAAAAAAAACUCUACUGCAAAAGUAUUUAGAUUCCUUAGGGCUUUUCUCUUCUUUUUUUUUUCCUGAAUAAAAUUUCAUAUUUCAUGAUGAAGAAUCAUGACCUGUAUUCAGUGCUCCUUCAGACAAAUAGAAAACCUUCUCUGCUGCUCAAUUUCAACAGUA